rnacentral:rRNA from 1 species
UACGUAGGCAGCGAGCGUUUGUCCGGAAUUAUUGGGCGUAAAGAGCUCGUAGGCGGUGUGUCGCGUCGGCCGUGAAAACCUGCAGCUUAACUGUGGGCUUGCGGUCGAUACGGGCAUCACUGGAGUUCGGCAGGGGAGACUGGAAUUCCUGGUGUAGCGGUGAAAUGCGCAGAUAUCAGGAGGAACACCGGUGGCGAAGGCGGGUCUCUGGGGCAA